rnacentral:rRNA from 1 species
UAGGGAAUCUUCGGCAAUGGACGAAAGUCUGACCGAGCAACGCCGCGUGAGUGAAGAAGGUUUUCGGAUCGUAAAACUCUGUUGUUAGAGAAGAACAAGGAAGUUAGUAACUGAACGUCCCCUGACGGUAUCUAACCAGAAAGCCACGGCUAACUACGUGCCAGCAGCCGCGGUAAUACGUAGGUGGCAAGCGUUGUCCGGAUUUAUUGGGCGUAAAGCGAGCGCAGGCGGUUUCUUAAGUCUGAUGUGAAAGCCCCCGGCUCAACCGGGGAGGGUCAUUGGAAACUGGGAGACUUGAGUGCAGAAGAGGAGAGUGGAAUUCCAUGUGUAGCGGUGAAAUGCGUAGAUAUAUGGAGGAACACCAGUGGCGAAGGCGGCUCUCUGGUCUGUAACUGACGCUGAGGCUCGAAAGCGUGGGGAGCAAACAGG